AUUGAACGCUGGCGGAAUGCUUUACACAUGCAAGUCGAACGGUAGAGGGGGCAACCUCUCGAGAGUGGCGAACGGGUGAGUAAUAUAUCGGAACGUGCCCAGUCGUGGGGGAUAACGUAGCGAAAGUUACGCUAAUACCGCAUACGAUCUACGGAUGAAAGCGGGGGACUCGCAAGAGCCUCGCGCGAUUGGAGCGGCCGAUAUCAGAUUAGGUAGUUGGUGGGGUAAAGGCUCACCAAGCCAACGAUCUGUAGCUGGUCUGAGAGGAUGAUCAGCCACACUGGGACUGAGACACGGCCCAGACUCCUACGGGAGGCAGCAGUGGGGAAUCUUAGACAAUGGGGGAAACCCUGAUCUAGCCAUGCCGCGUGAGCGAUGAAGGCCUUAGGGUUGUAAAGCUCUUUCAGCCGGGAAGAAAACGCAUGGGUUAAUACCCUGUGUGGAUGACGGUACCGGAAUAAGAAGCACCGGCUAACUACGUGCCAGCAGCCGACGG
rnacentral:rRNA from 1 species